rnacentral:lncRNA from 1 species
AAAAAAGGCAGGACCGAACAGAGUGAAAAAUAAAAAGGCAGGACAGAGAUUACAGCUAAAAAAAAAAUGCAGGACAAAAUUUUUCAUCCUAGCCCCCCCAUAAAAAUCAAAUGGUAGCUCCCUUAGCAAGAGUUGAAUUAGAGAGUUUGCAUAUAGGAUGUUUUAUUAAACACAAACCUUUUAUAUUUAGAUAGACUGUAUAAUAAUAAUAUUAAUCCAUUGAGAAAGGAAGCUUUUUUCUCUACCACAGUCUCUAGAUUUGACAGGAAUUUAUUCAUGAUAUACAUAUUCCAAAAAUAUUGUUGAAGAGACUAAUGUUGACCUUAAUAUUCUUUCUACUUGUAAGGACAUAAAAGAUGUAAACACGAACCAGUAUUGUCAAUCGAACCCGUAUUGUCAAUAGUAAAACCCAAUUAGUUAAUCAAUUUUUCAAAUGUUCUGAGUCAAAUUAAAAAAAAUAAUGAUAAAAUGAUAUUCACAAACAGUAUGCAUGUAUACUGUUGAAAAUCCACUUUCUGACAGAUGAAAAAGCAUGAAUCGUUAUUUUAUAAAAGAUCUAUAUUUUCAUUAUUUUGUAGAAAUGUGCAAGAUAAGAUGAUCGGUAAUGAAAAUAGCCUUAUUGACAUUCUCAAAUUUCGUUUCGCCAUUUUGAGCUGCGUCUGACUAGAAAAAAAUCCAUGACCUUUUGAUCAGAAGAACCGCGGAAGAACCGUGAGGUGCUUCGAAAGUUAGUUAAUCUCAAAUACGAAGGAAAAUGCUUCGAAAGUUAGUUAAUCUCAAAUACGAAGGAAAAACCUAAGUUCGUUUUCAAUAUUUAUGUGAUCGCUUUUUAUGCGAGUUUAUGUUAUAUUUCUGAAACCAAAUUUGAAAAAAUACCACUUUAUUUGUGGUUCAUAGCUAUAAAAAGUGCUACUAUUUAUUUUACAUUAUAUUGAAAUCCGACAUUCAAACAAAUCACAAACUUUUCUUAUACUGAGU